rnacentral:snRNA from 1 species
AGCUUUGCGCAGUGGCAGUAUUAUAGCCAAUGGGGUUUAUCUGAGGCAUGAUUAUUGUUAAUUGAAAACUUUUCCCAAUACCCCGCCAUGACAACUUGAAAUAUAGUUGGCAUUGGCAAUUUUUUGGCAGUCUCUACAGGGA